rnacentral:lncRNA from 1 species
CCUCUCUCUCCUCUUAAAAAAUACCUCUCUCCUCUCUCUCCGUGAGGAAGAAGAAGAGUCCCAUGAGCUCUCCUCUCUCUCUAUGAGGAAGAAGAGGUCCCACGAGGAAGAAGAAGAGUAUGAGUUAUUGAAUAUUGUUUUUUUUCUUUCUUUCGGUAGUUAUAGUAUAUUUUUUUUGGUUUUACUGUUUUUCAUUGAUUUUCUCGGCAAUUAGCGUUUGAGUAAACACACUUUCUCUGUCUUUCCAAUCUUUCUCCUCUUAUUUUCUUCUUCUUCUAACAAUUCGCGCUAUUCCUUUAUUUUCUUUUUUUUCAAGCCUUAUGUGAAACUAUGUGAGUUCUUGAAUCUUGGAUUUUUUAUUCAGCAAUUUUUUUUACUAUUUCCUUCCUUGAUUUUCCCUGCAACCAAACAGAA